UGGGGAAUAUUGCACAAUGGGCGAAAGCCUGAUGCAGCGACGCCGCGUGCGGGAUGAAGGCCUUCGGGUUGUAAACCGCUUUUGAUUGGGAGCAAGCGAGAGUGAGUGUACCUUUCGAAUAAGCACCGGCUAACUACGUGCCAGCAGCCGCGGUAAUACGUAGGGUGCAAGCGUUAUCCGGAAUUAUUGGGCGUAAAGAGCUCGUAGGCGGUUUGUCGCGUCUGGCGUGAAAGUCCAUCGCUUAACGGUGGAUCUGCGCCGGGUACGGGCAGGCUAGAGUGCGACAGGGGAGACUGGAAUUCCCGGUGUAACGGUGGAAUGUGUAGAUAUCGGGAAGAACACCAAUGGCGAAGGCAGGUCUCUGGGUCGUCACUGACGCUGAGGAGCGAAAGCGUGGGGAGCGAACAGGAUUAGAUACCCUGGUAGUCCACGCCGUAAACGGUGGAUGCUGGAUGUGGGGCC
rnacentral:rRNA from 1 species